GUGAAGACGUAGACCCGGAGAAAGACUGACAGAUGGAGAAACAAAGGCAGAGUGAGACCUCUCUCUGCCUUCUCCUAUCUGGCAACAGCAGGAGAGGUGGGAUGUAAGCCACGCGAGAUCUUUGCUGGUGUACCAGGAGCAACAGAUCCAAGUUCAGUUUCACCGUCUCUCCCUUCCCAUCUUCGACCUAUCUGCGCAAAGGCAAUGGAACAGACCUGCGGAGACAUCGAGGUGAGGUCAAUCCAGGGAUGGAUUCGCCACACAAGGGGAUAUUUCCGCCGAUGCUAAGUGAGAGAAGACAUUGCUUGUGAUGUUGAUGAGAUCCUGUGGCCAGACCCCAACAGACGGCAGGAUCCAUAAGCCCACUUGCGCACAAUUGUGUUUUUCUGUGUUUACAGUAGUGUAUUGUUUGUUUUAUUUUUGAUUUAACAAAAUGUACUGUACUGUAAAAUAUACUAAUGUAAUGAUUUUGAAUUCAGUAUU